GUGGUUCUUCUGAUGGCAUAUGGAAUGUGAGGCGUGGAGAAACUAUUCUUGAACAUCCUUUCUUUCGUUUUCAACUUCAAUUAAUUGCAAUGGUCUCCAUAGCUCAUUUCUUUCACUUGUUCCUCAAGCGUUUCGAUUUCCCCAGAAUCACCUCCGACGUUCUGGCAGGUAUUCUCUUGGGACCAACGUUUAUGGAAACAAUCUUUCCACGGGCAUCAGAACUAUUGUUUCCUCCAGUACCCAAUCAAGUGAUGGCUUCAUUGUUAAAGAUUGGAUAUGUUUUGUUCACAUUCUUAGCAGCAGUGAGAAUGGACAUCAGCUUGGUGAAAAGAUCAGGGACAAGAAUUAUCUUACUAGGGAUUCUUGUAUUUGCACUUCCCUACA
rnacentral:misc_RNA from 1 species